rnacentral:rRNA from 1 species
GACGAACGCUGGCGGCGCGCUUAACACAUGCAAGUCGAACGGAAAGGCCUGCUUUCCCUUGUGGAUUGCGGGUACUCGAGUGGCGAACGGGUGAGUAACACGUGAGUGAUCUGCCCCCAACUUGGGUAUAAGCCUGGGAAACUGGGUCUAAUUCCCGAUAGGACUGCAGGGUGGUGCCUGUGGUGGAAAACGAUUUUCUAGUGGUUGGGGAUGAGCUCGCGGCCUAUCAGCUUGUUGGUGGGGUAAUGGCCUACCAAGGCGGCGACGGGUAGCCGGCCUGGGAGGGGGGACGGGCAAUUUGGGAAUGGGAAACGGCCCGAACUCCUGCGGGGGGAGGAGAUGGGGAAUAUAGGCCAAGGGGCGGAAGCCGAAAUGCGGCGCGCCGGGUGGGGGAUUACGGCCUUGGGGGUUUAAACCCCUUUGGACCCGGAGGAAGCCACCUGGUUGGAAGGUUGGGAAGGUGAGUGGUAAAAGAAGCACGGGCAAACUCGUG